GACGAACGCUGGCGGCGUGCCUAAUACAUGCAAGUUGAGCGCUGAAGGUUGGUACUUGUACCGACUGGAUGAGCAGCGCACGGGUGAGUAACGCGUGGGGAAUCUGCCUUUGAGCGGGGGACGACAUUUGGAAACGAAUGCUAAUACCGCAUAAAAACUUUAAACACAAGUUUUAAGUUUGAAAGAUGCAAUUGCAUCACUCAAAGAUGAUCCCGCGUUGUAUUAGCUAGUUGGUGAGGUAAAGGCUCACCAAGGCGAUGAUACAUAGCCGACCUGAGAGGGUGGUCGGCCACAUUGGGACUGAGACACGGCCCAAACUCCUACGGGAGGCAGCAGUAGGGAAUCUUCGGCCAUGGACGAAAGUCUGACCGAGCAACGCCGCGUGAGUGAAGAAGGUUUUCGGAUCGUAAAACUCGGUUGGUAGAGAAGAACGUUGGUGAGAGUGGAAAGCUCAUCAAGUGACGGUAACUACCCAGAAAGGGACGGCUAACUACGUG
rnacentral:rRNA from 1 species